AUUGAACGCUGGCGGCAUGCUUUACACAUGCAAGUCGAACGGUAACAGGCCUUCGGGUGCUGACGAGUGGCGAACGGGUGAGUAAUGCAUCGGAACGUACCCAGAGGUGGGGGAUAACGCAGCGAAAGCUGUCCUAAUACCGCAUGUGAUCUGAGGAUGAAAGCGGGGGACCGAGCAGCAAUGUUUGGCCUCGCGCCUUUGGAGCGGCCGCUGUCGGAUUAGCUAGUUGGUGGGGUAAAGGCCUACCAAGGCGCCGAUCCGUAGCUGGUCUGAGAGGACGACCAGCCACAUGGGGACUGAGCAACGGCCCAGACGCCUAAGGGAGGGAGCAGAGGGGAAUGUGAGACAACGGGGGCAAGCAUGAUCAAGCAAGGCAGCGUGCGGGAAGAAGGCCUUCGGGUUGUAAACCGCUUUUGGCAGGAACGAAACGGUGUCCGCUAAUACCGGGCGCUAAUGACGGUACCUGCAGAAUAAGCACCGGCUAACUACGUG
rnacentral:rRNA from 1 species